AACGAACGCUGGUGGCGUGUUUUAUACAUGCAAGUCGAGCGAGGACAGUAGCUUGCUACUGAGCCGAGCGGCGAACGGGUGAGUAACGCGUAAGCAAUCUGCCCCACAAUCGGGAACAACCGUGCCAACGCGCGGCUAAUGCCGGAUAUUGUGUCCUACUGCAUAGUAGGUUAACGAAAGAUUUAUCGUUGUGGGAUGAGCUUGCGUCCGAUUAGCUAGUUGGCGGGGUAAUAGCCCACCAAGGCGACGAUCGGUAGCCGGCCUGAGAGGGUGAUCGGCCACAUUGGGACUGAGAUACGGCCCAGACUCCUACGGGAGGCAGCAGUAGGGAAUAUUGGGCAAUGGACGAAAGUCUGACCCAGCGACGCCGCGUGAGGGAAGAAGGUCUUCGGAUUGUAAACCUUAGUCAACAGGGAAGAAGAAAGUGACGGUACCUGUGGAGGAAGCCACGGCUAACUACGUG
rnacentral:rRNA from 1 species